rnacentral:rRNA from 1 species
UACGAAGGGUGCAAGCGUUACUCGGAAUUACUGGGCGUAAAGGGUGCGUAGGUGGUUGUUUAAGUCUGUUGUGAAAGCCCCGGGCUCAACCUGGGAAUGGCAAUGGAUACUGGACAGCUAGAGUGCGGUAGAGGGUAGUGGAAUUCCCGGUGUAGCAGUGAAAUGCGUAGAGAUCGGGAGGAACACCAGUGGCGAAGGCGGCUGCCUGGACCAGCACUGACACUGAAGCACGAAAGCGUGGGGAGCAAACAGGG